rnacentral:pre_miRNA from 1 species
AAAGUACUCCCUCCGUCCCAAAAUUCUUGUCUUUGAUUUGUCUAGAUACGGAUGUAUCAAGUCACAUUUUAGUAUUAGAUACAUCCGUAUCUAGACAAAUCUAAGACAAGAAAUUUAGGACAGAGGGAGUAGUUG